rnacentral:rRNA from 1 species
UACAGAGGGGGCAAGCGUUGUUCGGAAUUACUGGGCGUAAAGGGCGCGUAGGCGGCCUGCUAAGUCGAACGUGAAAUCCCUGGGCUCAACCCAGGAACUGCGUCCGAUACUGGCUGGCUUGAAUUCGGGAGAGGGAUGCGGAAUUCCAGGUGUAGCGGUGAAAUGCGCAGAUAUCAGGAAGAACACCAAUGGCGAAGGCAGCUCUCUGGGACGGUACUGACGCUGAGACGCGAAAGCGUGGGGAGCGAACAGG